CAGUCGCCGCGGGAAUACGUAGGUGGCGAGCGUUGUCCGGAAUUAUUGGGCGUAAAGGGAGCGCAGGCGGACAUAUAAGUCCAACUUAAAAGUGCGGGGCUCAACCCCGUGAGGGGAUGGAAACUGUAUGCCUUGAGUGCAGGAGAGGAAAGCGGAAUUCCCAGUGUAGCGGUGAAAUGCGUAGAUAUUGGGAGGAACACCAGUGGCGAAGGCGGCUUUCUGGACUGCAACUGACGCUGAGGCUCGAAAGCCAGGGGAGCGAACGGGAUUAGAUACCCGUGUAGUCCCUGUCUCUUAUACA
rnacentral:rRNA from 1 species